GACGAACGCUGGCGGCGUGCCUAAUACAUGCAAGUCGAACGCUGAAGCGAGGAGCUUACUCUUCUUGGGUGAGUUGCGCACGGGUGAGUAACGCGUAGGUAACCUGCUUUGUAGCGGGGGAUAACUAUUGGAAACGAUAGCUAAUACCGCAUAACAAUGGAUGACACAUGUCAUUUAUUUGAAUGGGGCAAUUGCUCCACUAAAAGGUGGACCUACGUUUUAUUAGCUAGUAGGUGAGGUAAUGGGUCACCUAGGCGACGAUACAUGGCCGAACUGAGAGGGUGGUCGGCCACCCUGGGAAUGAGACCAGGCCCAGGAUCCUAAGGGAGGGAGCAGGAGGGGAACGUCGGAAAGGGGGGCAAACCAGAACGCGAAACGCCGCGGGAGGGAAGAAGGUCGUCGGGUCGUGAAGAUCGGUUGUAAGGCAAGAAAGGGUGUGAGAGUGGAAAGUUGACACUGUGACGGUAGCUGAACAGAAAGCGCCGGCUAACUACGUG
rnacentral:rRNA from 1 species